rnacentral:lncRNA from 1 species
UGCACUGAUUUGUUUUCUGCUCUUUUUUUUUUUUUAUUUUGGUUCCUUAUUUUGAUUUGUGUUUUGCUUGACCAUGCCGAAAAUAUGGUCGUAUGUUUAGUUUUUAGGAAAACUAGAUUUAAUAACUAAAGGGAAAUUGCACUCAGUAGCUACCAAACAAUUAAUAAUUAAGAAUAUAACCAAAAAAUAAAAAGCCUCUAACAUUCCUACAAUAUAUACUAUACCCUUCUUAAUUAUCUAUUUCUUUUUUGUUUUAUUUUUCUUCUGGUAAACUAUAAGCUUCUUCUUCCCUAAUUAUUAUCACAUACUCUGUUACUAUCAUUCUUCGCAGAAUCUUCACACCACCUCUGUUAUGGAAAACCAUCGCCUAUUUUAUAUCCACGAAUACCGAUUCUUGUAUAACCAGGACAACUGUUUUCUCCAUAACCACCACCCUACCACACAUCCGCAAUGAUCAGCGCCACAAAAUCCGUAAUACUAUUCUAUUUAGUUAUUCCAUACCAUUCAGUUUGUUCCAUACCCUUGAUAUUGGGUUAUGGUUUAUAUUUUCUUUUAGGGUUUAAUGAUUAGUGUUUUAGGUUUAGUUUAUGAGAGGUUUGAGUUGAUGUUGGGGUAAACAUUACCUUCUUCCAUGUAAUCAUAGACAUUUCAGAAUUUGAACAAUAUGUACUAUUCUAUUUUAAUAUUGUUUUAUAUUAUGUACUAUGUGCAUAUUUUGAUAUUUAGGUUAGGGUUUAUAUUUCCUUUUAGGGUUUAGAGGUUAGUGUUUUGGGUUUAGUUUAUGGAAGGUUUGAGUUAACGUUGGAGUAAUUAUUACAUCUUUCCUUGCAAUCAUAUACAUUUCAAAAUUUGAACAAUAUGUACUAGACUAUUUGAUAUGUUCUAUUCUAUUUAUAAUGUCUCUUUCUUCAACCACUUUAAUUAUGUCAGUAAUCACCACGAGCACCACCACAACCAUAGUAAUCUCUAUCAUGAAAGAUCACAUUUUUCAUGUGUCUACGACCGCUUCAUUCUCC